rnacentral:lncRNA from 1 species
CGAGCUUAGCGAGCUACGCCGGCCGACCGGCGAGAAGAGCACUGGGGAGCUGACUGCAGACCCCAGGGGCAGACCCUUCCUGCUAGCCGUCCGGGGCGUGGAGCCGGGCCCGAGUCCGGCCAGCGGGCCCCUUCGGGACCCGGUACCCGGGGUCCGCGGAGAAGGGGCGGCUGGGAACAUGACUCCAAGGAGCAGCGACUAGGACAGCGAGGGAUCUGGCCGUCAGGUUGCAGCCUGGCCUGCGCGCGGAACUUAAACACCUAAGGGAAGAGAUGGCGCGCGAUGAUGACGUCAAACGCAAUGGCUCCCGCGGGUUGUGGUCGGAGCGCUGGCGGGGGCGGGAUCGUGACGUUAAGGGCGGUGCCCAGUCAGCGAGGUCUUAAGACCCUCAUUUGAGAGAUGCCUUCCCUGUACCUGGAGGAAAGAAACAUCUUUAUCUCUGAAGACACAGGGCCACAGAGAAGAGUCUGAACAAACAGGCUUUACCAAUUUCCCCCAGUUGUUACCGUUAGAUCAGACCUUUGUCCAGUCAUAUCCUUCCACAAGUUGUCCACUCAUCAACCCUAAGCAUAAAAAUGCACAAGUUUCCUUGUUUGUUUGGGUCUUCAUUUCC